rnacentral:ncRNA from 2 species
AAAUGAAUAAAAAUACACACUUAUAUAAUCUUUGUGAUAUGGACAAUAAGUUUCUACCCGGACACCGUAAAUGUCUGGACUAUGAGUGAUCAGUAAAUAAUC